rnacentral:SRP_RNA from 1 species
GCCGGGCGUGGUGGCGCGUGCCUGUAGUCCCAGCUAGUCAGGAGGCUGAGGCAGGAGAAUCACUUGAACCCGGGAAGCAGAGGUUGCAGUGAGCGGAGAUCAUGCCACUGCACUCCAGCCUGGGUGACAGAGUGAGACUUUGUCUCCA